rnacentral:lncRNA from 1 species
CCAGGCGAUACAUCAUCGUUAGGCGACUUUAGACACUCACCUAUUUCGGCAUUGCGUCACGUUGCUUUCAGUCAGUAGAAUAGAGACUAUAUUUUACCUUCGGUGACACUGUACCUACGGGCUGAUCUUUAAGGUUAAUUGUGAAGAGAGUGACAGAAUAAUGGGAUUUAGUCGUUGCUCGGAAGUGAGGUCUCGGUACAAAAUGUAAAUACCACCUACGUAUAACUUCUUAAGCGUAUCGAAACUGUCGAUUAGUAAUUGAUACUUGAAUUCAAUAUGGCCGCCUUCGUUAUCGCUUCACUUCCGAUUUUAUUUCGGUGAUGCGAUCAUUUCCAGAGCUUACCAAAUGGCAAAUUUAUCGUUUUCGAGGAUUUUAUGUCUGAGGUUACUCGAAAAAUGAGGUUAUAUAAUGCCACGGACUAUGAAAUCGCAUUAAUAGAUGACAGCACGUGAGAAUUCUUGGUUUGAAAAAUGCAACAAGCCUAGCGCGUUGUACUGAACUUCCUCUUACACGGAAUCAAAUCCGAAGAAAAGAAGCAGCGAAGCAACAGAAUAAAGUUGCAUGGGCAAUUCAAGCAUUCAGGGUAGGACUGAAGAAAAGUUUUAUAGCUAAUUUAAUUCUAUCUGUAAUCCAUAACCAUCAGUAACUUAGAAAUUAGGUACGGAUAGAAAUUAGCGCCACUUUCCGAGUUAACCUAAAUUCGCAACGCCUGUUUCUAAGAACACAACAUGGUUGUCAGGGCGUGAGUAAUUUAUAAAGCAAAAAAGAAAAGUUUUUUUGAAAUAACCGAAAUUCUUUGGUUAGAAAAAACAUUCGUUCCAGGUAUUUUUUACAUGAUAAUUGUCGUAAAUGGCAUUCGACUUGGCAAUGCAAAUUUUAACACCCAAAACUCUGCUUCUCCUUCAUCAAGUGAUGAGAAUUUUUCCAACAAGGUGAAUAAUACUUUUUUUCCGAAGUAUUCAGCCAAGUUGAAUGAACAUCAGUUGCUACAAGAAAUCUUCUCUAUUUCAUUUUCUCUUUGCGAAAUACGGAUAAAGGUAAAUAAUGGAGAAAAAAAUGUAAUACAAGUAAUCGUUCUGGUGAUAUUUUAUAUAUUGACAUAACAUAACUACGCCGACGUGUACAUUAAUGAAUGUCGGUUUCAUUUUGUUAGCUUCCACGAUUGGUUGCAUAUAUUUGAUCGUUGAGAAUUGAUACGUAUAUAUCGUAAAGUAUCAGCGCUUUCGUACACAAGAAUUAAUUUUAAGUAGUUGAAAUGUAUAAUAUUUUAUAUUCAAAUUGUACAAGAAUACUAAUAUUAAUAAAAAAAAAAUUGUGUGCAUUGAUAUUCAAUUAUAAUUCUUAGUUUUCAUGUACAGAAAUAUAAAUACUUAUACGGUGCACAGCAGCAAGAUAGGAAUAUUGUGUGUUUCAAUUGGUUAUACCAAUUUCAAGUGCCAUACGGCAUAAUAAAUAAAAUCAUUGCAAAUGCCACGAUUUUCACUAUUGGAAAUACUUCCAAUUUCCAGAAUCAUUCUGUUAAAUCCCCAGAAAGUGCGUUCAUUCUC